rnacentral:lncRNA from 1 species
CAAUGCAAUUAAUUGGAUAUUGUGCAAUUGAUCGAAGCAUUGAUUGACAUCAUGGAAAUAUUGUAUACAAAAGCAAUUGUUAAUUCUCAUAGGAACAAAUAUCGAGGAAAAAUUGAUUUCUUCACAUGUAUACAUAAAUAUGUAUGUAGAAUAGACACGUUAAGAAAUAGAGUAAUUUAAUUUGUGCUUUUACCUAAAAAAUUUCAUGUUGAUAACAUAUUAUAAAAUAAAGAGAGAAGGAGAGAGAAUAGAAAAGUCAAUAGACUUUUAUGUAUUUUAUUCAGAACCGGGGCACAUAUUUAUGGAGAAUAAUUAGAGAUACAAUGAUAACAACAAGAGCACAAGUACAAUUGUCAUUCACUAAUAACUAGGCCAUUAAAUGAUCUACCUUAAACUUGCAGUCAAAGUUUGUUAGAAAUUUGCAUGGGCUCCUGGUAAUGUUUAAAAGCAAUAAUUGCUAGAACCAAUAGUUAAAAAAUAAAACUUGUCUAGACUUUGCGAGACAAGUAUAUAAUGUAUUUCCAGCAAACUCAAAGAAUAUAUCCUCUUCUACUAAAUUGCAUGGGAUGAAAAUGCAUGAACAGAUUUCCCUCUGUUAUGAAUGCAUCCAAGUAAAAAUCUCCAAAUCAAUCUUAGUAAAUAAUGCGGGUAGAAUUACUUAUUGGAGCGAUCUUGCUCUCCUACUAUCAGCAAUUAGUGGAAGAUAAACCAAGUAAGGCAUGAGAUCUCACCUCUCUUUGUGACCCGUAAAGUUGCGAAGGCACCUAUUGUCAUACCAUAAUAUUUCUGGCAACAAAAUGAUCGCGAAGAGAAAAAAUGUCAGAACUUCGAUGUCAUAGUUCCAAAAUCAUAAAUAUAAGGCUAAAGCCACUAAACUCCAUAGGAAUCCAAAUUGUGCCUUGAAUUGCACGUGACAGAAC